UGUCGCUGGCCUUUUUCUCAGCUGUGCACGCCUUAAUCAACCCACCUGUGCACCUUUUGUAGACAGACUUUGUUUUGUCUAUCAAUCCUUUACUCCCGUGUAAUCCAAAUGUUAUUGAUUGGCCUCCGUGCCUUUAAUCAAAUAUUAUACAACUUUCAGCAACGGAUCUCUUGGCUCUCCCAUCCAUGAAGGACCCCACCAAACCCGAUAAGUAAUGGGAAUUGCAAAACCCUGAAUCCUCCAAUCUUUGAACGCCCCUUGGGCUCCUUGGUGAUCUGAAGAACAUGCCUGGUUGAAUGGCAUUAAAUUCCCAACCUAACCAACUUUUGGAUAGGCUUGGAUUGGGGGGGCUUUUGCUGGGUUCCACCCCCCCAAAAUCCGCUCCCCUUAAACCCAUUAAUGGAACGAUUUGUUGACCUUGGUUCCUGGGGGGAUAAAACCUUUAUCACCACCGUGGGCAGUCCGCUUACUCUGCUUCUAACCGAUUUUCAUUCCCUCCUGACCAUUUGACCUCAAAUCAGGGAAGACUACCCGCUGAACUUAAGCAUAUCAAUAAACGGA
rnacentral:rRNA from 1 species